UGGGGAAUAUUGCACAAUGGGCGCAAGCCUGAUGCAGCCAUGCCGCGUGUAUGAAGAAGGCCUUCGGGUUGUAAAGUACUUUCAGCGGGGAGGAAGGGAGUAAAGUUAAUACCUUUGCUCAUUGACGUUACCCGCAGAAGAAGCACCGGCUAACUCCGUGCCAGCAGCCGCGGUAAUACGGAGGGUGCAAGCGUUAAUCGGAAUUACUGGGCGUAAAGCGCACGCAGGCGGUCUGUCAAGUCGGAUGUGAAAUCCCCGGGCUCAACCUGGGAACUGCAUUCGAAACUGGCAGGCUAGAGUCUUGUAGAGGGGGGUAGAAUUCCAGGUGUAGCGGUGAAAUGCGUAGAGAUCUGGAGGAAUACCGGUGGCGAAGGCGGCCCCCUGGACAAAGACUGACGCUCAGGUGCGAAAGCGUGGGGAGCAAACAG
rnacentral:rRNA from 1 species